CGUUUGGGAAAACACCUCUCCAUGUAGUGUGGAGAGGGAAAGGGGCAUGCAAAGGCUGGAGAAGAGGAGUCCGGGGAUCUGCUAUAGUGGCCACAACACCAGUGCCUGGACCUGGGCAGGGAGUGGCUGUGGGAACCGAUCUGAGCCCUGUUGAGGAGCUGUGGGGCACGGACUGUGUCUGAUUCAUCUCUGUAUGUGAAGGAGAAGACAUGGCCACCAUUCCUCUGACAGUUGGAGCUGUUCAGCCUGCAAUGAGGAUGAGCUGGAGGGUGAGCUCUCCAUCCCUAGACAAAUUCUCAGGGAAGGCACCUCUAAGAAGUGACAUUUGAGCCAAGAGUUGAACGUGAGGAAGUAAGACGUUCAGCCGUGGAUGGGAGAAGACCCCAGGCAAGGAGACAGGCAAGUGCAAAGGCCCUGAGGAAGGAGGCUGGAGGGAGUCAGUGUGGCUGAGGGAAGUGAGUGCAGGGAGCGGAGGAGAGGAGGUUGGAAAGCAAGGGCGUGGCCCCCUCAUCUGGCGUGUUGUGAGUGGUUGUAAGGACUCUGGCUUUUACUCCAACAAGACCAAAGAGCUGCUAGAGGAAUCUGAGCACAGGAGACAUGGUUUGACUGCCAUGUGGAGAAGAGACAGUGGGAGCAAGAAGAGAGAACGGGGAGGCCGGCAAGGAGGCUUCUGCAGUGCUCCAGACGAGAGACCAGUGCAACUCAAGGCAACUGGGAUGUGGAGCAGCCGUGGAGCUGAGGAUGCAUGCUCUGAGUCUAGAUGUAUUCUGAGGGUAAACCCAACCUGGUCUGGAAUGUGAGAGGAAGAGAGAAGCCAAGAAUGGUUCUGAGGUUUUUAAUCCGCUCAGCUGGAGCAGACUGAGGUGGGGAGGAUGACAGGAGGAGGAGGCUUUUUUUCUGAAGGAGGGGCAGGAUUCACCAGUUUGGUGUGGAGACAGGAAUGUGAGUCUGGAGGUCAGAACUGAGGUCCAGGCUGGAGAUGUAUAUUUGGGACACGUGGGUGCCACUGUGGAGGCACUCCUCUAGGACCUAGAGGGAGAAAGUCUGCAACAACUGGGGCUGGGGAGUGGUGUGGAAGAGAGCACCUCCAGGCUGGGAGGAGCAGGGAGGGAAAGUCACACCGCACAGAGCUGAUGGGAGAUGGGCCUGGCUGGAGAGCAGGCGGUGGUCAGGAAAGAGGUCUCGAGAGCUUGCAGGACCUAAGAGGUGCGGUCUUCACCUUACAGAUAAUACAGACCCAACGUAGGGUUUUAGGCAAAGAUGCAAUGUGGGAAAGUCUUGCAUUUCGGCAAGCUCUCUCCAACCACAGCUGGAAGAAUGGGCCAAACGGGGCGGUGGGCAGUGGGCAGUGAGCAGGCUGUGGAAGGGAUCCAGGAGAAGGAUGGUGAUGCCUUGGCUUAAAACAGUGCACAGAGAGUAUUGGAGGAUGGAAGAGCAAUUUAAGGAGUACAAGUGGCAGGACAAGCUAGCUGCAUAGAUGCAGAAGUGAGAUAUUCAAAAGAGUACAAUCAAGGAGGCGCUUCAUCCUCUGACUCAGACAGUGCUUGGAACUUGGUGCUAUUUUUUUUUUUGAGACGAAAUCUCAUGCUUGUCCCCCAGUCCGGAGUGCAG